CAGCCAACUGGCUCACAAGGAACCCAGCUGAUCCUUUCUGAGCGCCUCUGCUUAGUCCGGUGUCCCUAGAACCACACCUGUGUCACCUCUGAACCAACUCGGGUCUUCUGAAAAGUUAACACUUCUGUUGGAGACGACAGUUCAUAUUCAUCCGUCAUUGCUAAGGUUCCAGUGACCCUAAGUGGUUUCUGUCCCAACGCGUCCCUUUACAGCGAGAGACUCAGCUUCCGCCGGAAGCCGGGUGACGGAGAUGUGGCCAUACCGACCAUUUAAAGCGAUUCCAACUCCGGCGAAGCCUGGCUGGAAAGACGCGGCUUCCAUCCCGGCAGCCUGGAGGAGGAUCGAGCAGGGGCUGUGCCUGGGCUUGCCUGGACUUGUUCAGAGAAGGGCUGCUCCCCUCGGUAACUGCACAGAUUGGGGGCUUUGGGAGACGUUGCCAGAACCUGGAAGCCACGGCCGGGGGCUACUGGGGCCCGGGGUCUGCGCACCUGCUCGCUGUGGAGCUCAGGAGUGU
rnacentral:lncRNA from 1 species